GGCACGCGUGCAGAGGCCCACACACCCUGAAGGCGGAGCCCCGGGUCGAGUGGCUGGCUCCCGGACCACCCAGCAGUCUGGAAGGCGCCCCUGUGUAGCUGGUACUGCCCUAGGAGACCGUAUACAUACUGAUAGCCUAAUGAUUGAAGGAGAGAUUCCGGGAAAGGGAUCGCAUAUCCAGGAGGUAGAGCCUGUAUGCCAGGCAGUGAGGACCUCAAGAUCUGGAAUGUGGGUGGAUGCGGAGUGUGUACAGCAGGCUCCAGGAGGGAGUCAGAGCACUGGGAGAUGGGAACAGAAGGAUCAGAAAUUCAAGUCCAGCUUUGGAUAGAUGGCACCCAGGCUAGCCUGGGCUACAUGAGAUCCUGUGUAAACUGCUCCCCCCCCCCCAAUAAAUUAAAUGAAACGAGUCAGCAGC
rnacentral:lncRNA from 1 species